UACGGGGGGGGCAAGCGUUGUUCGGAAUUACUGGGCGUAAAGGGCUCGUAGGCGGCCAACUAAGUCCGACGUGAAAUCCCCAGGCUUAACCUGGGAACUGCGUCGGAUACUGGUUGGCUUGAAUCCGGGAGAGGGAUGCGGAAUUCCAGGUGUAGCGGUGAAAUGCGUAGAUAUCCGGAGGAACACCGGUGGCGAAGGCGGCUUCCUGGACCGACACUGACGCUGAGGCGCGAAAGCUAGGGGAGCAAACGGG
rnacentral:rRNA from 1 species